GUGAAGGCCAACCUAAAACUGAAUGCUCGAUUAAUCCUGCUUUUCGUCUGAAUUUUGAACAGCCAUCGUGUCAUAUUUCAUCUAUGACGACCACGAACAACUUCGUUGUGAUCAACACUGUAUGUAUUUUUUUUUAAUGUGUCAUUUAUCACUCUUUAAAAGUAAUAUAUAUUUAAUGUGUUAAGUACUUUCAUAGUCGAUGUCACUUCAGUUGUUUUGUUGACAGUAAUCUAGUGAACCUGCAUGUUUAACCAGAAGUUAUCGUAACUGUCUUUUUAAGAGUGUAUACUUGAGAGUGUAGGCGCUGCCUUAAGGAUGAGAAUGGUGUCUACUCUGUAUACUUUCCAAAUCCUCGUUGUUGUGUCAAUGGUGUUGAGACCUAGUCAUGCAGGUAAAUUUAAGCAUUUUAUCGGUAUUUGGAAAGAGAGGGGCUCAGAUUCAAAAUAGGAUUAUACAAAUUAAUCGUACAUUGAUCGAUACAACUGAAUGUUAUUUCGUCUAGAAAAAUCCAAGAUCACGGUAAUGCAUACCCAGUCA
rnacentral:misc_RNA from 1 species